UACGUAGGGUGCGAGCGUUGUCCGGAAUUACUGGGCGUAAAGAGCUCGUAGGUGGUUUGUCGCGUUGUCCGUGAAAACUCACAACUCAAUUGUGGGCGUGCGGGCGAUACGGGCAGACUGGAGUACUGCAGGGGAGACUGGAAUUCCUGGUGUAGCGGUGGAAUGCGCAGAUAUCAGGAGGAACACCGGUGGCGAAGGCGGGUCUCUGGGCCGUUACUGACGCUGAGGAGCGAAAGCGUGGGGAGCGAACAGG
rnacentral:rRNA from 1 species